UAACCUGCCCAAGAGAUCGGGAUAACACCUGGAAACAGAUGCUAAUACCGGACAACAACAGAUGAUGCCUAUCAACUGUUUAAAAGAUGGUUCUGCUAUCACUCUUGGAUGGACCUGCGGUGCAUUAGCUAGUUGGUAGGGUAACGGCCUACCAAGGCGAUGAUGCAUAGCCGAGUUGAGAGACUGAUCGGCCACAUUGGGACUGAGACACGGCCCAAACUCCUACGGGAGGCAGCAGGU
rnacentral:rRNA from 1 species